CCUACGGGGGGCUGCAGUGAGGAAUAUUGGUCAAUGGGCGCGAGCCUGAACCAGCCAAGUCGCGUGAGGGAAGACGGUCCUAUGGAUUGUAAACCUCUUUUGUCGGGGAGCAAAAGACGCCACGCGUGGCGUUCCGAGAGUACCCGAAGAAAAAGCAUCGGCUAACUCCGUGCCAGCAGCAGCGGUAAUACGGAGGAUGCGAGCGUUAUCCGGAUUAUUGGGUUUUAAGGGUGCGCAGGCGGAAGUACAAGGCAGCGGUAAAAUUGAGAGGUCAAACCUAUUCGUGCCGUUGAAACUGGUUUUCUUGAGUGAGCUAGAGGUAGGCGGAAUGCGUGGUGUAGCGGUGAAAUGCAUAGAUAUCACGCAGAACUCCGAUUGCGAAGGCAGCACACCGGCGCUCAACUGACGCUCAUGCACGAAAGUGUGGGUAUCGAACAGGAUUAGAUACCCUAGUAGUC
rnacentral:rRNA from 1 species